rnacentral:rRNA from 1 species
UACAGAGGGUGCGAGCGUUUAAUCGGAAUUACUGGGCGUAAAGCGUGCGUAGACGGUUAUUUAAGUCGGGUGUGAAAUCCCACGGCUCAACCGUGGAAGUGCACUCGAAACUGGAUGGCUAGAGUCCUGGAGAGGAAGGUGGAAUGCUUGGUGUAGAGGUGAAAUUCGUAGAUAUCAAGCGGAACACCGGUGGCGAAGGCGGCCUUCUGGACAGUGACUGACGCUGAGACGCGAAAGCGUGGGGAGCAAACAGG